AGGCCCUGAGGGCCGACCGCGCCUCUCACCACCCACCCGGCGUCUGAGGGAAGCCGGGGUCAUACUCCCUUGUGUGAGGCCCUUCAGAAAGCCGGGGAGAGCCCACCGCAGCUCCCUGGACGUUUCCAGAAGGCUCCGCUGUCCACCCGCACGUCCACCGGGUUUGAAGCUGGCCGUCGUCGACGGACCCGGGGCCCACCACCACCAGCCCGGAACGAAUAAUGGGAGCUAUCACGCGGGGAUUGCAAGGGCUAUUGUUACCCAACCCAGAACACUUUGUGGAGUCUCAUCUUCCUAACCACCGAAUUUUCCCCCUUAAGUCCGGAAAAAGAUAUUAAAGCUGUUUUCUUUGGGACCCAGAUAUCAUCAGGAGAAAUGAAAAUGCAUGUUUUCAAAAUGAGGAUAAUUUCUAAGAGAUCAUGACUACCUUUUUACAGAAAUGCUGCUAGACCAUUCUACAUACCAGAAGCAAAAGGCCUUAUAGCAACCUGGGAAUUCUACAGCUUCUAUGAUCACAAAAACCAUUGGCCUAGGGCUGGGGAGAUGGCUCAGCAGUUACA